rnacentral:lncRNA from 1 species
CAGCAAUGUCCCCAGCAGAGGAUGAGAAGGAAGCUUUGAUUUCCCCGAGCAGGAGUAAUACAGAGGUCUCCAUCCCUCAGCGAGUGAAGAAAGUUGAUAUUCAGAAACUACAGGGAAUCUCCUGUUGUUCUCUGUCCAUUCAAUAGAAGGAUAUGUCUCCUCCUCAGUAAUGUUUUGUAGUAAAAGAAGAGUGUGUUAUGCAUUUUAAGCAAAUUCAAGAAUUGCAGGAUUUCUCCUGAAUUCUCAUUUAUAUUCAAAGGUCAGACAUCACUGUUCCCCGGCAGAGUCUCCUAGAGGAAAGAUCUCGUAACCAGAUAUCAGACACCAUAAUCCCCUGCAGAGUCUUCAGAUACAGAAAGUCUCCAUGAUAAUUAAAGCAAAAAAAUCAAGGAUAGAUUUCCCCUAUAUUCUUAUUCCCUGGAAAGAUACCAC